rnacentral:rRNA from 1 species
AGAGAUUAAACAUAAGAGUUUGAUCCUGGCUCAGAUUGAACGCUGGCGGCAUGCUUUACACAUGCAAGUCGGACGGCAGCACAGAGAAGCUUGCUUCUUGGGUGGCGAGUGGCGAACGGGUGAGUAACAUAUCGGAACGUACCGAGCAGUGGGGGAUAACUAAUCGAAAGAUUAGCUAAUACCGCAUAUAUUCUGAGGAAGAAAGCAGGGGACCAUUUGGCCUUGCGCUGUUUGAGCGGCCGAUAUCUGAUUAGCUAGUUGGUGGGGUAAAGGCCUACCAAGGCGACGAUCAGUAGCGGGUCUGAGAGGAUGAUCCGCCACACUGGGACUGAGACACGGCCCAGACUCCUACGGGAGGCAGCAGUGGGGAAUUUUGGACAAUGGGCGCAAGCCUGAUCCAGCCAUGCCGCGUGUCUGAAGAAGGCCUUCGGGUUGUAAAGGACUUUUGUCAGGGAAGAAAAGGACAGGGAUAAUACCCCUGUCUGAUGACGGUACCUGAAGAAUAAGCACCGGCUAACUACGUGCCAGCAGCCGCGGUAAUACGUAGGGUGCGAGCGUUAAUCGGAAUUACUGGGCGUAAAGCGGGCGCAGACGGUUACUUAAGCAGGAUGUGAAAUCCCCGGGCUCAACCUGGGAACUGCGUUCUGAACUGGGUGACUAGAGUGUGUCAGAGGGAGGUAGAAUUCCACGUGUAGCAGUGAAAUGCGUAGAGAUGUGGAGGAAUACCGAUGGCGAAGGCAGCCUCCUGGGAUAACACUGACGUUCAUGCCCGAAAGCGUGGGUAGCAAACAGGAUUAGAUACCCUGGUAGUCCACGCCCUAAACGAUGUCGAUUAGCUGUUGGGCAGCUUGACUGCUUAGUAGCGAAGCUAACGCGUGAAAUCGACCGCCUGGGGAGUACGGUCGCAAGAUUAAAACUCAAAGGAAUUGACGGGGACCCGCACAAGCGGUGGAUGAUGUGGAUUAAUUCGAUGCAACGCGAAGAACCUUACCUGGUCUUGACAUGUACGGAACCCUCCAGAGACGGAGGGG